GGAGGAAAAGAAACCAACAGGGAUUGCCCUAGUAACGGCGAGUGAAGCGGCAACAGCUCAAAUUUGAAAUCUGGCGCAAGCCCGAGUUGUAAUUUGUAGAGGAUGCUUCUGGGCAGCGGCCGUUCUAAGUCUCUUGGAACAGGGCGUCAUAGAGGGUGAGAAUCCCGUAUGUGACCGGCGCGCACCCUCCACGUAGCUCCUUCGACGAGUCGAGUUGUUUGGGAAUGCAGCUCUAAAUGGGAGGUAAAUUUCUUCUAAAGCUAAAUACCGGCCAGAGACCGAUAGCGCACAAGUAGAGUGAUCGAAAGAUGAAAAGCACUUUGGAAAGAGAGUUAAAAAGCACGUGAAAUUGUUGAAAGGGAAGCGCUUGCAACCAGACUUCGCGGCGGUGUUCCGCCGGUCUUUUGACCGGUCUACUCGCCGCCGCGAGGCCAUCAUCGUCUGGGGCCGCCGGAUAAGACCUUAGGAAUGUGGCUCCCUCGGGAGUGUUAUAGCCUCUGGUGAUGCGGCGUGUCCCGGGCGAGGUCCGCGCUUCGGCAAGGAUGAUGGCGUAAUGGUUGCCAGCGGCCCGUCUUGAAACACGGACCAAGGAGUCUAACAUCUAUGCGAGUGUUCGGGUGUCAAACCCCUACGCGUAAUGAAAGUGAACGGAGGUGGGAGCUUCGGCGCACCAUCGACCGAUCCUGAUGUCCUCGGAUGGAUUUGAGUAAGAGCAUAGCUGUUGGGACCCGAAAGAUGGUGAACUAUGCCUGAAUAGGGUGAAGCCAGAGGAAACUCUGGUGGAGGCUCGCAGCGGUUCUGACGUGCAAAUCGAUCGUCAAAUUUGGGUAUAGGGGCGAAAGACUAAUCGAACCAUCUAG
rnacentral:rRNA from 1 species